rnacentral:rRNA from 1 species
AACAAACGCUGGCGGCGUGCCUAAUACAUGCAAGUCGAACGGGGAAAGCUUUCGGGUGAGUACUAGUGGCGCACGGGUGAGUAACGCGUGGAUAAUCUGCCUUCGAGUCGGGGAUAACUAGUCGAAAGAUUAGCUAAUACCGGAUAAGACCACAGGAACUGAGGUUCUAGGGGUUAAAGGUUUUUCGCUUGAAGAUGAGUCCGCGUGAGAUUAGCUAGUUGGUGAGGUAACGGCUCACCAAGGCGACGAUCUCUAACUGGUCUGAGAGGAUGAUCAGUCACACUGGAACUGAGACACGGUCCAGACUCCUACGGGAGGCAGCAGUAGGGAAUAUUGCACAAUGGAGGAAACUCUGAUGCAGCGACGCCGCGUGAGUGAUGAAGGCCUUCGGGUCGUAAAGCUCUGUCGCAGGGGAAUAACACAAUGAAUGUACCCUGCAGGAAAGGAUCGGCUAACUUCGUGCCAGCCGCCGCCGUAAUAC